rnacentral:rRNA from 1 species
UACGGAAGGUAGCAGUGGGGAAUAUUGCACAAUGGGCGCAAGCCUGAUGCAGCCAUGCCGCGUGUAUGAAGAAGGCCUUCGGGUUGUAAAGUACUUUCAGUCGUGAGGAAGGUGUUAAGGUUAAUAACCUUAGCAAUUGACGUUAGCGACAGAAGAAGCACCGGCUAACUCCGUGCCAGCAGCCGCGGUAAUACGGAGGGUGCGAGCGUUAAUCGGAAUUACUGGGCGUAAAGGGCACGCAGGCGGUUAAUUAAGUUGGAUGUGAAAUCCCCGGGCUUAACCUGGGAAUGGCAUUCAAGCUGGUUAGCUAGAGUCUUGUAGAGGGGGUAGAAUUCCAUGUGUAGCGGUGAAAUGCGUAGAGAUGUGGAGGAAUACCGGUGGCGAAGGCGGCCCCUGGACAAAGACUGACGCUCAUGUGCGAAAGCGUGGGGAGCAAACAGGGAUUAGAUACC